rnacentral:lncRNA from 1 species
GAAAUCUACUCCUAAGAAGACAAUUAUUGAUCCAUAAGCAGUGACCUAACGCCAACUCUCCCAUUAGAAUAAAGUUAAACCCUAUUUAGACAUUAAUAAUCUAAUAUCAGUGAAUAACAAGGUACCUUUCUAAAGAAAAUAAUUAUUUUGAAGAAAAAUAAGUGACUCAAUUUCAUGUUUUUUUGGUAUUAUUUAUGAGAAAUAAAAGUGACUAAUUCACAUUACAGGAUGUGUACAUGGUGCCCAGCAGCACGACGCAGCAGCAGCAGAAGUCGAGACCCAGCAGCACGACGCAGCAGCAGUGACCCAGCAGCAGCAGUAACCAUGACGCGUCUGUGGCAGCAGCAGAGGUCGAUACCCAGCAGCACGACNNN